rnacentral:misc_RNA from 1 species
UUUCCGUAGGUGAACCUGCGGAAGGAUCAUUAUAAAUGAAAAACGAAUAACUUCAGGGACGAAGGGAACCUGCACGGUGACCUCCCCUGUCGGGCCACCCAAUACCUUCAAAAUGCCGCCGUCCUAGCGGUGGCAGACGAAAAAAAAACAAGAAAAACAAAAUAGAAACAGGCACGGUAGCCCGUUCACCUUCACACAACCCUGCGACUACCGCUUCCAUGUUGCUGCCCCGCAAAUCCACCGCUUUGGUGAGCGCGGGGGAGAUGCGCAUCAAAUUCACCUGAAUGUCACAGCAGUCAGACAGCCAUUCAUGGAAACAAUAAAACUUUCAACAACGGAUCUCUUGGUUCCC